rnacentral:lncRNA from 11 species
UGUGAACAAAAACUGGUCAAAGAAAGGUUUGUGGAAGAAAGAAUGCUAAAUUCCAAAGGCAUAUAAAAGAUUUAUCUGGAUCCACAAUAGAUCUCUGGCACAAUGUAUUAUAUAGUGGCUGGGGAAUGGACACAGCUCCAUCAUGCCUCAUGUGCCAUCAGUUGGGAGCCCCUCCCCACAAUUCCAGCUGCCAUUCUGUGGCCACAGAGUGAAGAGGGGACAGCCAGGAAGACACAGCUCCAUCGUGUCUCAUCCACCAGCAGUUGGGAUUGAGCCCCGAAAUUGAUGGAAGAACAAGCAGCAAUAGGGUCACAAGGACUAGCAACCCGAACAGCACUGCUGCAAAAUUUAAUUGGUAAAAUACCAAAGUCAAUAUUUUAUCUGAAUUUAAGCUAUUUGGCUAGAAAUGGAAAAAAAAUAGCACAGGAUUAUAUAUUUUGACAAAUGGUAGAUUCGCGUGAAGCCAAAGAGUGGAUCGACAACAAAUCGGAUGAAAGGAAUAAAAGGAAAAGGAAAGGCUGGGGAAUAUCUGAAUUAUUAUAUAUAUCAACAUAUAUUAAAUUCAGCCAGCAUAUCUGAACAAGUCUGCUUUUGGAGGAACAAAAUAAAGCAUACCCCUCAUUGUGGAGUCG